AGCAUGACAACAAAAGGCAAAUACUUGUCAAAAAUGCUAGCAUGGCAAUAAGGUGACCAAGAGAGAGCAAAUGUGAAAAAUUUUCCAUGUCCAAUUCCAAGUAAACGGCUAAUAAAGUCUUAUCAAUUUACAAGUAGUUAAUUAUCAAAUACCAAAAGAUGAUAAUGGAGACAACCUGAAAAAUGUCUGGAGACGGGGAAAUUGCCUCAAAACUAGAAAGCAUUGUUAAAAUGGAAUCACAUACCAAAAUGGUCUGAGAGAACCCUUCUAGAAAAU
rnacentral:misc_RNA from 1 species